rnacentral:rRNA from 1 species
CGACGCCGCGUGGGGGAUGAAGGCCUUCGGGUUGUAAACCCCUUUCACCAGGAGCGAAAUCAGACGGUACCUGGGGGAAGAAAGCGCCGGCUAACUACGUGC